UAGUUAGCUAGCGACCACAGCCUCGGGUCUAUCGAGCCAGCACCCGAGCUGUCAGACCCGUGGGCCGGUGAAAUGUCACAGGGCUAACGUUACGUCUCCGGCGUCUCUCGGGGCCCCGCUGACGGGUCCAGCAGACCAGAAAAUACCGGCUAGGAAACGCGAAAGGGCAAACAGCUGUUAAUGCACCAACGUCUGAGAGGUGUAUUCAUCACCAUUAGCGAGCGACUAAAAGACGCAACGCUAGCGGGCUAACUCGGCUACUUUAUCAAUAUCAGCAUGUUUACAGCUCUAGAAAAGUUUCCAAUUGAAAGUUAAAAAUGACCUGAACAAAUAACAAAAAAAUGCUGAAAGAUUACCUGGACAAGCUAAAUGGAAUAGAGAAGUCCACUGAAGACAUUUCAGUGGUACUUGAUCCUGAAUGUGAGAAAGGGAUACCAACCCAUACCGAAGACCCAGCUGAAGAAAGCCCCCAGAGAACAAACUGUGGAUAAACUGGUGCAGGUUUAUGGGGAAGAUGGUGCUCUGGAGACCACAGUGGAUAUUCUCUUCAGGAUGAAACAUAAUUACCUUGCAGAAAAGUUAACUGAAGGGAUGCCCUUGUGGCAUUAUACAUGACACUGAACCUAUAAUGAAAGCUACAGAGAGAGAAGUCAAGUUGAUCCAUCAGGAGGUCACAGAAAUGACUCAUAUAAGGGUUGCAGGGGGCUGGAGCCAAUCCCAGCUGGCAUCGGGUGAAAGGCAGGGUACACUCUGGACAGACUCCAAGAACAUCAAGGAAAAGCAGAAAGAUAGAAAAGAGAAGAAGAUUAAGGACAACUUUGAGGAUCUUCAUCUCUUCAUACAGAGAAGAGGCAACCAGAAUAGCGGCUUUAGAAGAUGAAGAGACUCAGAAGAUUUGUAUGAUGCAGUCGCUUGCAGAGAUGAGCAGAAACACAUUCUCACUUUCUGACAGUGUAAAAAACAUGGUAGGCUUAUGUGCUUACAAUUCGUUUAUACAGGUAGUUUUAAAAUUCAGGAAAGGUCUAAUUCAUGUAAAUCUGAAGACUUCUAAUGCAUUUCUUGUUUUACUUGCAGACCUUUAGGACUGAAAUGGAAAGGUGCAUAUUAUUCAUUGUGUUUUCAUUUUCUUGUGUUUCUGAGCCUUUGCCUUCAGUAAAGUUAUUAAAGGAUUGAAACUAUUUCUGUCUUAAAACAACUUUCACCAUAAUGAUUAUA